CGCUAGCUACAGGCUUAACACAUGCAAGUCGAGGGGCAUCAGGAAGAAAGCUUGCUUUCUUUGCCGGCGACCGGCGCACGGGUGAGUAACACGUAUCCAACCUGCCCUUUACUCGGGGAUAGCCUUUCGAAAGAAAGAUUAAUACCCGAUAGUAUAAUGAUUCCGCAUGGUUUCAUUAUUAAAGGAUUCCGGUAAAGGAUGGGGAUGCGUUCCAUUAGGUUGUUGGUGAGGUAACGGCCCACCAAGCCUUCGAUGGAUAGGGGUUCUGAGAGGAAGGUCCCCCACAUUGGAACUGAGACACGGUCCAAACUCCUACGGGAGGCAGCAGUGAGGAAUAUUGGUCAAUGGGCGCUAGCCUGAACCAGCCAAGUAGCGUGAAGGAUGAAGGCUCUAUGGGUCGUAAACUUCUUUUAUAUAAGAAUAAAGUGCAGUAUGUAUACUGUUUUGUAUGUAUUAUAUGAAUAAGGAUCGGCUAACUCCGUGCCAGCAGCCGCGGUAAUACGGAGGAUCCGAGCGUUAUCCGGAUUUAUUGGGUUUAAAGGGAGCGUAGGUGGACUGGUAAGUCAGUUGUGAAAGUUUGCGGCUCAACCGUAAAAUUGCAGUUGAUACUGUCAGUCUUGAGUACAGUAGAGGUGGGCGGAAUUCGUGGUGUAGCGGUGAAAUGCUUAGAUAUCACGAAGAACUCCGAUUGCGAAGGCAGCUCACUGGACUGCAACUGACACUGAUGCUCGAAAGUGUGGGUAUCAAACAGGAUUAGAUACCCUGGUAGUCCACACAGUAAACGAUGAAUACUCGCUGUUUGCGAUAUACAGUAAGCGGCCAAGCGAAAGCAUUAAGUAUUCCACCUGGGGAGUACGCCGGCAACGGUGAAACUCAAAGGAAUUGACGGGGGCCCGCACAAGCGGAGGAACAUGUGGUUUAAUUCGAUGAUACGCGAGGAACCUUACCCGGGCUUAAAUUGCAGUGGAAUGAUGUGGAAACAUGUCAGUGAGCAAUCACCGCUGUGAAGGUGCUGCAUGGUUGUCGUCAGCUCGUGCCGUGAGGUGUCGGCUUAAGUGCCAUAACGAGCGCAACCCUUAUCUUCAGUUACUAACAGGUCAUGCUGAGGACUCUGGAGAGACUGCCGUCGUAAGAUGUGAGGAAGGUGGGGAUGACGUCAAAUCAGCACGGCCCUUACGUCCGGGGCUACACACGUGUUACAAUGGGGGGUACAGAAGGCAGCCAGCGGGUGACCGUAUGCUAAUCCCAAAAGCCUCUCUCAGUUCGGAUCGAAGUCUGCAACCCGACUUCGUGAAGCUGGAUUCGCUAGUAAUCGCGCAUCAGCCACGGCGCGGUGAAUACGUUCCCGGGCCUUGUACACACCGCCCGUCAAGCCAUGGGAGCCGGGGGUACCUGAAGUACGUAACCGCAAGGAUCGUCCUAGGGUAAAACUGGUGACUGGGGC
rnacentral:rRNA from 1 species